UUCCGAAGCGUGUGUGAAUUAUAUCUUAAAAUAACAUUUGAAAAACUGGGAAUCUAUGGCCAUGCUCGACGAAGCGUAUCAUGGAGAGAUCAGUCAAUUGUUAUGUAAAUAAUAAUACCGGACACAGAGAAACGGUUCCAUAGGUUAGAUCGGCUUUUUAACAGCACGUUUCCUAUUACAUACAUUGUAACUACGAUCGGUGUCAAUGCUUGAAUAUAACCCGUCGGCGAGCAGCCCCGAACAAAAAGAAUCCGAAGGGAGAUCCGAAGGAGAUGAUUCUAACGAGAGAUCUGAAUUAAAAAGAUCAGAAGGAUCUCGAGAGAGCUUAGAACCGGCUGUGGAAGAAUUACUUGGCUCGGAAAUAAGCAAAUCUAUUACCGUAGUUGUAACGCAUCGUGGAACACAGACAAUAAUACAUUGCAAGCCUGACGUGAGCAAACACGACUUCAUCAAAAUGCUUGUCGAUUCGAGAAUAUGAAUGCAGAAAGUCGGCACCGUUUGUAACG